rnacentral:lncRNA from 1 species
UCUUCAAACCACUCUCUUCAGCCACCUUAUCGAAAUCAUCCUAAAGUUUAUUCGUUGGGCCGCGCUUAACGGAUUCUCUUUCACUACCUUCGUUCUCUUCAUCUUCACCCACCAAAAUUCAUCACCUCCGCUUAAUCGCCAAUGGAGCAGGCGGCGACGAUGGAGACAACGACGCCUAUGACAUUACAUUCAAUGCGGCCUUGGAGGCGGAGGCGCGUGGAGUUUAAGCCGCCCCUGGACCAGUAGGCUUCUUCGGCCCACGACAUCAGCGGAUCGAGGACUGGAGCUGGUGGAUCAACACGUUCGUCGUUCAGUUUUACGUCGGUGUAGAUUCGAGGCCUUGGUAGGCCGUUCCUAAAUCUAUUGUGCUUAAGAAAUAACUUACAAAAAUCAUAAUUCUCGAUUUAAAAAGGGAGAAAAUAAAUAAAAGAGAAGAUGAAGACGAAGAAGUGGCGGCAUAUGUUUAUUGUUUUAGUUUUGAGAAUCCUUUAUUUUGAAUUUUGAAUUUUUGAGAUAUAUACAUCAUUUCCAUAUUUGAUUCUAAUUUUUGAAAUGAAUUAUGUUAUUUGGUUGUUGUUGCUAUAAUUUGUUGGGUGAUCUUGAGAGAGGAAAAAAUUAAUUGGUUGAAAUGAAUUUGGGUGUGUAAAAAUGGUAUCGAUAGUGGUGCGCGAUAAUGACGGUGGUG